rnacentral:pre_miRNA from 1 species
UUAGCUCAUAUUUGUAUGGAAUCGGAUCGUUUGCCUACGUUUGCCGCUAGGGGCGCUGUUCCAACUGCAUACAAAAUUGGGUUA